UACAGAGGUCUCGAGCGUUGUUCGGAUUCAUUGGGCGUAAAGGGUGCGUAGGUGGCGCUGUAAGUCGGGUGUGAAAUCCUGAGGCUUAACCUCGGAACUGCAUUCGAUACUGCGGCGCUUGAGGACUGGAGAGGAGACUGGAAUUCCUGGUGUAGCAGUGAAAUGCGUAGAUAUCAGGAGGAACACCGAUGGCGAAGGCAGGUCUCUGGGCUGACACUGACGCUCAUGCACGAAAGCGUGGGGAGCAAACAGG
rnacentral:rRNA from 1 species